UUGAAUUGUAAUUUAAUAGAAAGCCAUGCAGUCUCUCAGUGCUUUCCAUUGUGUGAUUAACAUUCUGUAAGGAAUUCCCUUGUGUUUGUCACACAGAAAGCAAAGUUUAGACUUCUGUUCUUCCUUGCGAAAAGAAGGGAAAGAGUAAACAAAGGAAAUCAAUUAUAAAUGUUCCAUUAAUAAGGAUGAAGAUAGAAUAUAUCUGUCACUGGGAAAAACCCUGGCUUGAUUCCCAAGGGACUGGUUGCCUCUCAACAGUUUUGGCUUAGCAAAGGCGUUGGAGCAGGCUAUUCUUGGUCACAUAAAGAGAGGCAGAGCUGGCAGCUCACACACUGUGCAGACUUGAAAUCUCUGCAGUGUGCUCCCUAGCUGGGUCCAGAUGCACUGAUUCUCCAGGCACAGUGAAGGACAUAUUUAUUUGAUCAAGCUUUUGGAGAAAGCUAUUAUUGGGGUUUUUUUCAAGAAAUGAAUAUUUGCACAGGUAUGUCAGUUGAAUGAAGGACUCUGCAGCAUCUCAGGAAAGAUGUUGAGUGUAGCUGAACUCUCUGGUCUGUCAGAACACUUUGACAUUCUAUCUUAUCUCUCUCCUAUUUGCCUGGGAAAGCUAUCUGGCCCCACAAAGUACUCUGGAGAAAAAGGAAAAUUAUUGGAUGGUUUCUUCCUGGAAGAAUAGAUGGAACAGAAAUUGAUGGAGUCUGGUAUCACUAAUUUGUAAGUAACAAAAAUACCAACUUUUACAGAAUUCACUGAACUUAAAGCUGGUUCUAUUCAUUUAAAUUGGUACCUAGUACUUGUCACAUUAU
rnacentral:lncRNA from 1 species